rnacentral:misc_RNA from 1 species
AACCAUUCUCACCUGCGGCUAGACCUGCGGAGGGAUCAUUAACCUUUCAAUCAGGGUGCGGCGCGGCCCCCGAGGAGCGGAAACAAUCCUUGGGAGGUAUGCGGGGGCUUCGAGCCCCCCAUUUACGCACGCACGACUGCCAUCCUUACUUUACGAGCACCUUCUGUUCUCCCUCGGCGGGGCAACCUGCCGUUGGAACCGAAUAAACUCUUUUUGCAUCUAGCAUUACCUGUUCCGAAA